rnacentral:rRNA from 1 species
CGAUUAUGGCGUAAGCGACGCAGCGGUUUGAUAAGUUGGAUGUCAAAGGCAAUGGCUCAACCAUUGUACGCAUCCAAAACUGUCAGACUUGAGUGCAGGAGAGGAGAGUGGAAUUCCAUGUGUAGCGGUGAAAUGCGUAGAUAUAUGGAGGAACACCAGUGGCGAAGGCGGCUCUCUGGCCUGUAACUGACGCUGAGGCUCGAAAGCGUGGGGAGCGAACAGGAUUAGAUACCCUGGUAGUCCACGCCGUAAACGAUGAGUGCUAAGUGUUGGAGGGUUUCCACCCUUCAGUGCUGCAGCAAACGCAUUAAGCACUCCGCCUGGGGAGUACGACCGCAAGGUUGAAACUCAAAGGAAUUGACGGGGGCCCGCACAAGCGGUGGAGCAUGUGGUUUAAUUCGAAGCAACGCGAAGAACCUUACCAGGUCUUGACAUCCUUCUGAGCGCACUAGAGAUAGUGUUUCUCUUCGGAGCAGAAGUGACAGGUGGUGCAUGGUUGUCGUCAGCUCGUGUCGUGAGAUGUUGGGUUAAGUCCCGCAACGAGCGCAACCCUUAUGUUUAGUUACCAUCAUUUAGUUGGGGACUCUAGACAGACUGCCGGUGACAAACCGGAGGAAGGUGGGGAUGACGUCAAAUCAUCAUGCCCCUUAUGACCUGGGCUACACACGUGCUACAAUGGGGAGUACAACGAGCAGCGAACUAGUGAUAGUAAGCGAAUCUCUGAAAGCUCCUCUCAGUUCGGAUUGUAGGCUGCAACUCGCCUACAUGAAGCCGGAAUCGCUAGUAAUCGCGGAUCAGCACGCCGCGGUGAAUACGUUCCCGGGCCUUGUACACACCGCCCGUCACACCACGAGAGUUUGUAACACCCGAAGUCGGUGAGGUAACCAUUUUGGAGCCAGCCGCCGAAGUGCAU